CCUACGGGAGGCAGCAGUGAGGAAUAUUGGUCAAUGGGCGGAAGCCUGAACCAGCCAAGUAGCGUGCGGGAUGAAGGCCCUACGGGUCGUAAACCGCUUUUGCACGGGGAUAACACCCUCCACUUGUGGAGGUCUGCAGGUACCGUGCGAAUAAGGGCCGGCUAAUUCCGUGCCAGCAGCCGCGGUAAUACGGAAGGCCCGAGCGUUAUCCGGAUUCAUUGGGAUUAAAGGGAGCGUAGGCGGGCGUUCAAGUCAGCUGUAAAAUCGCGGGGCUCAACCGCGCCCCGCAGUUGAAACUGGACGCAUUGAGUUGACAACAGGCAGGCGGAAUUCGUGGUGUAGCGGUGAAAUGCAUAGAUAUCACGAGGAACCCCGAUUGCGAAGGCAGCCUGCCGGGGUGCGACUGACGCUGAGGCUCGAAGGUGCGGGUAUCAAACAGGAUUAGAUACCCUGGUAGUC
rnacentral:rRNA from 1 species